CCGAGGGAGUGGGGGCUACUGGCGCCGUUCAGCAACCAAAUAAUUUAGCCAACUCCAAUUUUAACCCUUACUUAACUCUAAAUGUCCCGUGUGCCUGUGCAUAGUGACUGCACUAACUAUAAUGAAAGUACAAAACUAGCUUUUGUCACGGCAAGGGUGCAUCAUUUAUUAUUGCACUAUGGAAUAUUGAUAUUUAAUAUAACUUGUGCAGAGGAC